UGUUGAGUAUUUCAUGUUCUAAUAAUCAAACAUUCUGAAAAUUCCGUUAAUUUUCAAUUUCUUUAAUUUUACUGCCACCAACUCGUUCUAAUUGAAUUUUUAAUUGUGUUUCUAUCUUAUUCUACUUUUCUAAAAGUCUUAGUUGAUAUUAAUCAGUCAGUGGUGAAAUGUUUGGGUGCUCAAUUGGGAUAACUUUUAAUUUGAAGACAUGUAUUGAUACGAUUGAAGGAUAUAAUGAUCUUCUUUUCACCAAAAUGGCCUCUCAAUUAACUGUCAACCAAAUUUUGAUGUGAUUUUUCUCUCUCAUCUUCUGAUACUUGUACCUGUUUUUACUUUCUUCUGUGUUGCCAUUUGAUAUAUAUUAAAGGGUAUCAAUCAACUGAUCAGGGAAACAUGGUAACAUUAAUAUUAUAAAAUUGAAUAAAACAUCUUUAUCAAAGCUAAAUAUCAGUCAUUUACCAAUGUUCCUGUUGUUACAUGGUAUCAAUCAGCUGGUCAUUGCUGCGAUCGCCUUUGGCAUUUGAUGUUGCCUCUUGGUGCCUUGGUUUUUUUUAUUCAUCUCCACUCUAGAUUAUAUAUUUUCAUUUCAUUAAUCUAAAUCAUUUGACAUUGGAUAGAUUACUUGAAAAAAAAGAUGAACGGGAAGAGAACAAGAGAGAAAGCUUAAUGAGAAAGGUCAUCUGAUUUUCACCACAAUUCACUAUUUCAACGCACACCUUUUUUCAAAGCAAAAAAAUAACUGAAACAACAUGGACAGAAGCAAACCUUCAACCAACCCUAAGGGAAAUUGUUCAAACUAAUAGCAAAAUUAUUGGAAACCAAAAAGGAGGAAAAGAGUGAAGAUUAAAGUAUACAAGAUGGUAAAAUGAAGUAGGAGGAGGUGGACGGCAACGAAGGAAAAGAGGAAGAAAAAUGACGUUGUCAAAGAGUCGAGUGAUGAUGAUAAUGAUGAGGAGGACUGCAAAAAAAAGUGGCUCAACUAUGAAUUCAACUGAAGCUUUACCUCAUUUUUUACCCACUUAUAUACUGGAUAAUGGAAGUUGAUCAAAGAUGAAGUAAUAACCAUCGAGUGAUCCUUUUUGGGUUACCUUUAACCAAUGGAUAAAGUGCAAAACCUAAAUAAUGUUUGUCUUUUUCACUGCACAUCCAUGAAUACAAGUUUAUUUUUCAUUCUAAAUUCAAUCAUUUCAAUCAGAUUCAGUGAACCAUAAAUUUGAUGGUAGACAUUAAGUGAAAGUGUAAAAAACUGAUUUACUCUUUACCAGAGUCAACUCUUUCAUCCGAUCAAACCCAUUUUCAUCAAAAAAAGAGAGAAGGAAAUCAAGGCAACAAUUAACAUUUACAUUCCAACAAAUUGUUAUUAUGAAUAAUUUGCAAUAAAAGCAAAUAUAAUGAUACAAUAUAUUUAAUACCAAGACUGUUAAGGUGUUAGUGUGUUAACAAUGUUAAUGAACCAUGAGAAGAAAAAUGAUGAACCCAAAAAUAUUGGAAGUCAAGGAAAGGAGAGAGAAAAGUAAAACAAAAGCUCAACAAAUCACAGAAAGCUAUUUUCUCCAGAGCUGACAAAUGAAGUCUCUUAAUGUUGAACCUUGUUCCUCAGCUGGUUCAUUUAUUAUACCAAUUUCAUGGCAAAAUGGUUUACAAUGUUGAAGAUAAAAUUGUUAUUGUUCCUUACCUCUUUCCAAUUAAUAAUAUACAAUAAUGCAUUACAUUGUAAUACAUAAUACAUUUGUUAUUAACUUUCCACUCGAUCAACUCAAUUGUUAACCAAUCUUUACCAAUUUUUAUUUACCUGAUUCCAUAUUCAAUUUCACUUCUCACCUUUGCUGCCCUCCAAUCAUCAUCAUUAUCAUCAUGAUCCUGAAUCUUCACCAGCAUCAUUUAACCUUCCCAAUCUCUGUGGAUAUUUUCAUUUCCAUUCCAAUGGGAAAUGUAACUAAAGUGUUUCAACCAUUUUAA